rnacentral:lncRNA from 1 species
GUAACGAGUCUAUAUCUAUAGGCGAAUCAAGCCGAUGACUGAUACAAGGAGGGCAAAGAAGAUUCGAAAAGCAAGAAGAAAUGGGGUUCAGGGAUCACAAUCUUGGUUUUCACUAGGAGUUCUCUGAACCUACUCACAAAUGACUAGACAUUCUCAUUGGCACCUUGGAUGGUGUCUUGAAGAUCUGUGAUGGUAGGCUUUUUUCCACUCAAAUAUGAGUAUUGUCUCAUGAACAUGUCAGCCAAUUCCUCGAGUGUAGAAAAUAACUGGCAGGCUCCCAAACCAUGCUGCAGCCUUUCCUUCGUUACUCUUUUGGAAAAGGUAAAUAAGGUUAUCCUUAUUUUUCCUAACUAGAAAAGUGUCAUUGACGAAGAGCCGUAGGUGGUUUUGUGGGUCACCUUUGCCAUCCCAUUUUUUCCAUAUUUGUACCUUGUACCAGUGUGGCAGAUUGACAUUAGGGCAAUGACAUAAUGAGGCAAAUGUUCCUGAGGGUUCAACUUCCUUUAGAAAUAAAGACGAGGAAGAUAGAUCCAGAAGCCAACCUCCAUCAACAUCGAUGGUUGAGUUAGGUAAUUAUGGUAUUCCAUCCCAGCUUACUCUCGAGAGAGGUAUCAACAAUUAGGCUCUUCAAGGCAAUGUCAAUUGAAGAAGAAGAAGUGACGAGUGUAAUUACAUGAAGGAGAAAGGACGGUUUCAAUAUUUUUUCGUAAUCCUUUGUUAUAGACGUUGGGGCCUAACUAACUAUAUUCCAUUCCAUUGUUGAUAUCGAAUACAAAUAUCUAUCUACUUUCUUGGUCCUAUAUUCCCAAAAAAAGAUUGGUACCACGGCUCUCUGUGACUAGUGGGAUAUUUCACUUGCAGGAGUACUGGUUUUUCUAUUUAGAUUAUGUAAAAUAAAAGCCUUCAUAUGUUGGGGGCCCUGCUAACGUUCGAAAAUAGAAAUCGGGUGGCUACUGCAAAAGCUGCUUUGGGUCUUGUUGGCCUCUUCCUCUGCUGCUUGGUAUAGCCUUUCGGAUCGAGGGUCCUACUCGUGCCCAAACAAGGAACCCCGCCCGACUAGUACUGGUAGGUAGGUUAAGGAUUACUUACAUUGAAAAGACUCUUCUCCAGCCUCAGAAGUCACGCCAGUCCUAGUUUGCCUCUCGAGUGAGUCGCCUUGAUCUCGAAUACCACCUGUGUCUAUCUCCUUUCAAGUGUGCUCCCUGCCAUGCUACUCUCACAGCAACUGUCACUGUGUGGCUAACAACAACAGUACCAGUUUGUGCAUCAGUGGUUCAAGUGCAGUGCCCAGAAAGAGUUCACAGAUCUAUGGGAAGUCUAUUCUAUAGAAUAGACUUUUAGUAAGUGGCCUUAGUUGAAUAACCUAAAGCACCGGUCUUCUUAUCAGCAGCAGAAGCAAUCCUAUGGGAUUGGGUUCUCCUCAACGAUUUACUUAUGUAUUUUCAUAGUUGAUUCUUUCUGGACACAUGGCUAUCGUAUGUCCACAGCGUUACAACUCGAGUUUUCUCUGCAUCAAACAGCUCAUCGCGUGGGUAUUUUUUAUGCAAUCAUCUUCCAAGCGUUCUUCUCUAUGGCUUUUUGACAUUUACACUAGGGCAUAUGACGAGCAAUCCGACUGCAUCUCAUCCUCACCGUACCAAGGCAAAAGUGUCGUCUUCACUGGUGACCAGCGGAGUGCAACUCAAAGUCUGGCAAUGAACCUCGAUGAGGUACUGCACUAAGCGAGCGAUCUUUCGUAAACCACCGGAAGAAGGGAAUAAAAUAGCAACAAUGGGAUUUUCACCCUUUCCUACAUUUCUUGCUUUCCAGUCUCGGGUUAGUUCUCAUCUUGAGGUGGUUUGGCACACUAUCGUACUUUGGUCUAGUUAUUCGGUCUUUCGUCAACCUAUCUCUCAUCCAUCGCAGGUUCAAAUUGAGCCAACAGUCUGGUUGGUUUAAGAGCCAUAAGUAGAGGGUUGGCUUUCUUAGCUCUCAAGUCGAGGUCGAGGGGCUCGUUCGGCACGACUGGUCAAAGUCAAAAGGCAAAGCUGUCGAUACACGAUACAUUCAAUCAAGUCCGUUGCUGGUGCAAGUCAAAGCAGCUAGCUCGAGGGUCCAAGUCUAGCUAUAAGCUAGUGCGAAGGCUAGCUGGUGAAAGUCAAUAACGCUUAGUCGGUGAAUUCGGUGAACAAGCCUUCCCAGGCAUGGAACUCUUGC